UCUCUCUCUAACGAUAACAAUAAAAACCGGGAUAAUAGCAGCAGCCUCUCUCUCCAUUUACGUAUUUGGAAGAAAGAGGAUGAUCCCUCUCUCCUCCUCCUACUUCCGCUGCUACCUCCCCCCUCCUCCCCCUCCCCCACCAAUCACCGCUCGCCACGUCAGCGCUACCCUCCUCUCCUCCUCCCCCUCCUCCUCCUCCUCCUGCCGUUCCUCCGAUCGCGAUCGAAGCAACCGCAGCGUCAAACCCUACCACUGUCUCCAGAAGCUUCUGCUAACACACGCGUUCGCCGGAGCUCUAUCCCUCUCCCUCUCCCUCCUCGCUCCCUUCGCGGCCGCGGCGGAGGACCCUCUCCGGCCGCCGCCGCCUCCGACGGCGGAGCUCUGCCGUGAGGCGGAGGCGGCGGAGGGCCGGGGGGCGACGCCGGCGCCGGCGCCGGCGCCGGAGGCGGUGACGGACGAGGGCCUCGUGGAGGAGGCGUGGGAGGUUGUUUACGACAGCUUCCUCCCCGACGCCGGCGACCGCCCAUGGUCGCCGGAGAUGUGGAUGGAAAAGAAGCAAGAAAUUCUUCGUAACAAAAUUCAAACAAGAUCUCGAGCUCAUGACAUUAUUAGGAACAUGCUUGCUAGUUUGGCUGACCCGUAUACUCGGUUCCUUUCUCCUUCAGAAUUCUCGAAAAUGGCAAAGUAUGAUGUCACUGGGAUUGGAAUGAACUUGAGAGAAGUUCCUGAUGAUAAUGGCUCUGUCAAGUUGAAGGUAUUAGGGAUCAUACUAGAUGGACCUGCUCAUUCCGCUGGUGUAAGACAGGGGGAUGAGCUUCUUUCUGUGAAUGGGAUAAAUGUACAAGGUAAAUCAGCAUUCGAUGUAUCAUCCAUGCUACAGGGUCCGAAGGAAACGUAUGUGACUAUUGAGGUUAAACAUGGUGCUUGUGGCCCUCUUCAGUCUAUGAAGGUUCAAAGACAACUUGUUGCUCGUACCCCAGUUUUUUAUCGUCUAGAGAAAAUGGAAAAUGGAGAUUCGUCAGUUGGAUAUAUUCAUGUAAAAGAGUUCAAUGCACUGGCGAAGAAAGAUUUGGUUACUGCAUUGAGACGUCUUCAAAGCGCUGGAGCGUCCUACUUUAUCUUGGAUCUAAGGGAUAAUCUUGGUGGGCUUGUGCAAGCUGGGAUAGAGGUUGCUAAGCUUUUUAUGAACAGAGGAGAAACAGUAAUUUAUACAGCUGGAAGGGAUCCCCAGGUUCAAAAUACUAUUGUUGCCGAAACCGAACCUUUGAUUACCAGUCCUCUCAUUGUCUUAGUGAAUAAUAGGACCGCAAGUGCUAGCGAAAUUGUAGCUUCAGCACUUCAUGAUAAUUGCAAAGGCAUUCUUGUGGGAGAAAGGACCUUUGGCAAGGGCUUGAUACAGUCUGUUUUUGAGCUUCAUGAUGAUUCUGGUGUGGUGGUUACUAUCGGUACCUUGUUUGUCUAUACUUUUGUGUGAGGAAUGCAAGCAUUGAGUAGCAACCGAUGUUUUAAUUGCAGCUUUGAAUGAGGUGAAAAAUUUGCUCUCACAGUGCCGAUAUCCGGGAAUGGGUUAAAAGAAGGAUACUCCUUUUAAGUACUUGUUCGUGAAAUAAUGCGCUCUCCCCUGGAAAAUCUUCCGCUAAGAUUUUAGAAGAUACAUAUUCAUUACAUUCAGAAGCUUUUCGUGGAUGCAACUUCACCGUUCCGCCGUGAUGUUCUCUCUAUAUAUGAGGCCGGAUGUGAAGAUACUAUGCGACAAUGUAUGGCUGCUCCGCGGUGGCUAUAAAAGACAGCAGAAUGGUUGCAAUUUUUAUUCAUCAGCAGCUUCUGGUCACGGAUAGCUAGGUUUCAUACUUUUUUCAGAUAUUUGCUGGAACCAACUCCAAUUCAAUUCAUGUAUUGUGGCUGUAAAGAACUGAAUCAACUAUUCAAAUUCUUUUUUCUUGGUCUGAAGUGGCAUUUUUUUUCAGUUUGUUUCA